rnacentral:lncRNA from 10 species
ACCGUUUUAGCCGGGAUGGUCUCGAUCUCCUGACCUCGUGAUCCGCCCGCCUCGGCCUCCCAAAGUGCUGGGAUUACAGGCGUGAGCCACCGCGCCCGGCCCAUGUAAGGAUUUUUUGAGAUAUAUAUUCAUUUUUCUAAAUAGCAGGAUUCUUGUUUAUUAUUGUGAUUCCUUUUUCCCCCUUUAGAAUCUAUAUGUGUGGGUAGGUCUAGUUUCUCCUUGGGGAGUGAAUUGCCAGGCAUCAUGCUUUAAUAAUACUUCCUUUUUAUAAGUUCUAUCUUGUUUCUGUUAUGUACUUCAUUUUCUGUAAUAGCUUCUGUAUAAACUGCAGAGUAAAUGGGCCUGAAUCCAACUUGCCAAUUUUUUAUGAUUCUUGCAUGAGCAAAAACAAUACUCAGUGUUUUCAAAUAGCAGAGGUGAUUAUAUGAACCAUAUUUACUCCUUUUCAUUCCUGUAAUGUAUUUCUUCUAUUCAAUAACAUGUGAUUAAACUAUAACUCAAAGAAAGAAGCAGAUUUAACUGAAAUAUUAAACGUUUGUAAAGCAAUAAACAAUUUUUUUAAUUUCAAAGUAAUUUGCUAUGACCAUGGUUCUUCUUUCCACACAAAAACAUUUUUUUUUCUUUUAAUAAUAACCAUCUGUAUCUUUCUAUUUGGGAAAGAUAUGAGUGCCAUUGAUGGUUCCUUUACAAAUUCU